UACGGGGGGGGCAAGCGUUGUUCGGAAUUACUGGGCGUAAAGGGCGCGUAGGCGGUGCGGUAAGUCACCUGUGAAAUCUCCUGGCUCAACUGGGAGCUUGCAGGCGAAACUGCCGUGCUGGAGUGUGGGAGAGGUGCGUGGAAUUCCCGGUGUAGCGGUGAAAUGCGUAGAUAUCGGGGGGAACACCUGUGGCGAAAGCGGCGCACUGGACCACAACUGACGCUGAGGCGCGAAAGCUAGGGGAGCAAACAGG
rnacentral:rRNA from 1 species